rnacentral:lncRNA from 1 species
UCUACACCAUAUAUAAACUCUAUGUCUAAAAAAUUAUAAACUUUAGAUUUUUAUAAUAAAAUUUUUUUAAAAAAUCAUAAAAUAUAUUCAUACAUACGGUGGAUGAAAUAAUUUUAUUUCUAUUAUUUUAUUCUCUUUUAUUUAUUGAUUUAUUUAAAUUAUUUAAAUAGAUUUCUUCAAAUCUUUUCCACAUAAGUUUUAUAAAUAAUUCAAUUACUAAAUAAUUUAAUUACUAAUAAGCUGUUAUAUAAUUUACGUGGCACAAAUACCAAUUUUAGUUAUUUUUAUUUAAAUAGAUUUAAUUAUUAAAUUAUUUUUAUAUAACUUUAUUUAAUUAAUAAUUAGACUACUAAAAUUAUAUAAAAAUAUAAAUUAAAAGUUAUUAUUAAAAUAUUUUUAUAUCCGCUGCGCGGGUCUUCCACAGUUAUAAAAUAAAGGAUAUGCUCAAUAGCCAACCGUCAGCAACUAGCCGACAAUCCUACCCCUUAGGGUAUACCGAUCGUGUAGGUCACCAAGUAGUCGAAACGACCAAAUAGGUUAUAAUACCAGAUGCAAUGAACCGACCGAAUAGGUCAUAAUACCAGAUACAA